GGGCCUGUUUAUGGAUUCGCUGGGAUUUAUGAAGGCUUGUAAGCAUGUGGGAGUAGUCUCCCUUAAAAACGUCGAGGUUUAAAUAACCGCAGAAAAUAAUGAUUAUGCAUUCUUAGCUGGUAGAAAUACUCAAGCUAACUAUGCUUUCUGCUAAUCUAUAAUAUUAUAGCAGGCUCUACUUUAAAUUUUCCUAUAAUUUAAAGAUUCGAGUUUUAACUUUUGAUAGGAUAUAAUAAUUGUCUGCUACUCUAAGAUGGUUAUAGAAUUUAAUAGAGUGUAGUUAGUCUUUGGUUUGUUCAUUCGCUUAGGGCUAAUGAAAAUUUAGGAUGAAAUAAACAUGUAGAAAGCAAGAUGGAUUGGGUUUCAUACGGGAGUUCGAGUCUCCCCAGGUCCACCA
rnacentral:tmRNA from 1 species